rnacentral:misc_RNA from 1 species
UCUCCGUUGGUGAACCAGCAGAGGGAUCAUUACAGAGUUGCAAAACUCCCAAACCAUUGUGAACGUUACCUAUCCCGUUGCUUCGGCGGGCGGCCCGGGCCCCGCGCCCGGCGCCCCCCGGCCCCCCGUGGGCGCCCGCCGGAGGUAAACCAAACCCUUGGAUUGCAUGGCCUCUCUGAGUCUUCUGUACUGAAUAAGUCAAAACUUUCAACAACGGAUCUCUUGGUUCUG